rnacentral:rRNA from 1 species
AGUGAACGCUGGCGGUAGGCCUAACACAUGCAAGUCGAGCGGAAGCACAGUAAGAGCUUGCUCUUACGGGUGGCGAGUGGCGGACGGGUGAGGAAUACAUCGGAAUCUACUUUUUCGUGGGGGAUAACGUAGGGAAACUUACGCUAAUACAUCAUACGACCUACGGGUGAAAGCAGGGGAUCUUCGGACCUUGCGUGAUUGAAUGAGCCGAUGUCGGAUUAGCUAGUUGGCGGGGUAAAGGCCCACCAAGGCGACGAUCCGUAGCUGGUCUGAGAGGAUGAUCAGCCACACUGGAACUGAGACACGGUCCAGACUCCUACGGGAGGCAGCAGUGGGGAAUAUUGGACAAUGGGCGCAAGCCUGAUCCAGCCAUACCGCGUGGGUGAAGAAGGCCUUCGGGUUGUAAAGCCCUUUUGUUGGGAAAGAAAAGCAGCAGGUUAAUACCCCGCUGUUCUGACGGUACCCAAAGAAUAAGCACCGGCUAACUUCGUG